GAACUCGCCCGCGCUCUUUUUCUGGAACGUACAAAAGGUGGAUUGUCCGACGGUGUGCGUCAAGCUCGGCAACAAACGAGUUUUUAACGAGUCUACUCCACACUACGUGUAAGUGCAUUCUGGAAACCAGGGCUAGACGAUGUAAUAAUGUUAAUCAAUGCAGCAAUUUACUACCACGAUUUUGCUCUGUUUAUUCAUAAUUGUUAGAGGUACGUAUCGGCAGAACCUUAAUGCUAAAGCGCUCACAAUCGAUGCCACAAACAUCGCACUUUCACUGCGAUUCAAUAACACUCCACGUGAAAAAUCGCCCGGCGCUGUUGACAUGGGAGAGCUUGUUAAUUCUGCCAGUUUUGUCGUCGCUACCUACCGAGGCACGGUUCUCUAAAUAUUGAUCACCGGUUGCCAAGACAACGUUUCAAAACAAACUAUUCAUCCAGAGCCCUCGCUACGCAUUCGACCAGAACUUAAUGACCCUGUGGUUAGGCACGACGGCUACUCUCGCUCUCUCUGCCAGCUGGAAGAACUUCUCGUCAGUUUGAUCAUAGAGACUGUCUUGUAAGGAAUCAGAAACAGAAAAUGGGCUGUGGAGGAAGCAAAACGUCGGCAGAGCCGAAGACAGAGGACAACAGUCGGCCGGAGUCCUCGCCUAAGCAAGAAGUGGCAGUGAAGCCGGUAGUGAGGGAGGAAACAGAACAGGAGGCCGACCCUGCAGACGACGCCGGGGAGAAGGAGGGUCAGACCGGAGAAGGAGAGGGGCAACAGCAAGAAGCGUCUUAGGAAGAAGCCUGAUUUUAGAACUUGCCCACCAGAUCUCCAUGUUUCAACCGUCUCAACCAUUGACUCUUUCCGAGAGGACUCAACUUUACGAAGAUUCAACUAGAUGCAGUUCAACUUUUUACCACUGUGUGUCGCCUGUGCACGGAUGUCCUGUGCAACACCUGGGAGAUGGUUCCAUGACCUCAUCAACCCGGAAUUUAUGACGACAUGUUCGCCGAGGUGUACCGCAUUCGGUAAUGACUGCCUUAUAGACUGACUCCCACCAUCUGCGGUCAUCGAAAACUGUCCAAAUACACGAUGUAAAUAGUUAAACGAUUAGGAUAGACGGAGGAUGUCAAUAUUAGAUAGACUAUUGAACGCAAAUCACCAAUAGAAAAUACGUUGAAAAUGGUGUAUAAAAGUCCGAUUGUGAAAAAAAGUAUUUUCAUAUUGUAAGAUUGUGUAUGUUGAUAAGGUAUUCUUGGGUUUGGUCUUUAAUGUUUGUUUGCUGCUAUCGUUGUGAAUAUAUAUAAGCAUUUCUAAGGAACAUCUUCGUUGAACAUUUAGGACAGCUUCAUACAAAUGUGCUUAUACAUGUACUAUCAAAGGAAGACAAAUGAUACGUAGACAAACAUAUUAUGACAAUCUUUCACAAACAAAAGAGUAUGUUCUAGCAUGCUUGGGGAUUCUGGCAAUUAAAAUCAAGUGCUAAACAUACUGCAAAUGUACAUGUAGGUACGAAGUUAAACUCACCCCUUUUCGUUGUCGCUUGCUUAGGUCAUGUUGAUUUAAUUAUAUGGAUGACUUCAUCUGGGAAUCAAAAAAACUGAUGCGAGCGUGCGAAUAAAAAUAAAAUGCUUGACCAAAAAAUAGUUGGCUUCAUUAUGAAAUCAAAGUGGUCAGGAAGGCUGAACAAAUGACUGAGCACAUUAUAUAGUAUACCAAACAACAGAUUUUUCAUGUUUGUUCUUUCACAUCCUCUUUGACCUUGUAAUGUUCUAGGACAGUGGUAUACGUUUUCCGUGCAUUUGCUUAUUUUGUACGAUUAGAUACUUUGUACGAUUUAGAGUAUAGUUGAAAACUUUUUAUUUUUAUUUUGGAUACGACCGAAAAUCGACGCGCACGCGGAUCAUCCAUAUAAUCAAAUCAAACAGUACAGUCGAGACGUAUCGGAUGGUACCUUGUAAAGUUUCCUUGAGAGGAUUAAGUGUAACAUCUUGGGAUGAAUGAUGGAGUAGGCCUAGGACUGAGACCUAUUUUCUUCAUUCCUACCUUCAAACAACUGUGAAGAAGAUUGUAUAUACAUGUAUCAUUACCACCUUGGCUGUAAAGAGUGCCAUCUUACGCUCUUUCUGAAACUGCAGAUUCCGAGGACGCAAGAACUCAAAGUCAUUUACCAUCUAUGAGCAGCCAACGUUCAACUUGUAUCGUGGUAACAAAUAAAUGUAAAUAGUGUAAUUCUAUUCCUCAACAACCUGUACUCGGAAACUACCCCCCAUUUGUAAUAAACCAUUGGAUUUUUGUC